UCUGGUAACUGCACCCGUUGUCAUGAAAGGCAGAUCACUUGAUUCCACGUAACAUACUUACUUGUUUAUGAUGCUAAAUAUACCUCACUUUUUUCAAAAAUAUUCUGUAUACUUCUAUUUGUCUAUUUUAUCUCUGCAUUUUGACCUUCGGACCGCCAGUGAGUCAAAACAAUAUAAAUAUAUCAGACGUGUAUUGUAGUGCCUUCCAGUUAUAGUAAUGAAUUCAAAAAUAGUUGUGAUUGGAUCAUGCAACAUAGAUUUACAAUGCUUCACCUCACGACUCCCAAGGCCAGGAGAAACUUUGCAUGGCUCACUGUUCAGGAAGGGUUUUGGGGGAAAAGGAGCAAAUCAGUGUGUUGCUGCUGCAAAACUGGGAGCUUCAACAGCAAUGGUAGCAAGGUUGGGUGAUGAUUCCUUUGGCCAGGAUUUCCUUGAGGCCUUGAAAAGCAACAAAAUCAAUACAGAUUUUGUACACAUAACAAAUGGUAUAUCAAGUGGAAUGGCCCAGAUAACUGUGUCUGAUAAUGGUGAAAAUACUAUUGUAAUUGUGGCUGGAGCAAACAAUAAAUUGAGUGUUUCUGACAUUCAGCAGGCAUCAGAGAUCAUCAAGAUAGCUAGUGUGGUGGUGGUCCAAUUUGAAACUCCAAUAGAAACAACAAUUGAAGCACUCAAGAUUACAAAGAAAGGGAAAGGCAUUGCCAUCACUAACGCAGCACCAGCAACGGCCAACCCUGAUCCUCUGGUUUUCAACUUAUCAGACAUGUUCUGUGUCAAUGAAUCUGAGGGUGCUGGAGACAUGUUCGUUGGUAGUCUGGCAUUUUACCUGGCGUGCUAUCCAGAGUUACCAAUGAAGGAAAUUGUGAAGCGAUCAUGUGAAAUGGCAACAGUGUCAGUACAAAAACAUGGCACACAGACAAGUUUUCCAACAAAAGAUGACUUACCAGCCGAGUUGUUUAUGAAAUGCAGUUCAUUUAAAUAAAAGACUACAGUAGUACAUCGUCACUGUCUUCAAAUAAAAAUUUCUGUUUUCUGGGAUAUACUACAUACAAAGGCCAAAUCUCCUAGACCUUUGGAAUGUAUCAUCUAUCCUCUUCCAAAAGAAUAAAUACCACAUCUGUACAAGAAGUAGUAAUGAUGGUGAUCACAAUUUGUGGUGUCAUCAUUAUGACUAAUUCUCUGUUUAUUUAAUAACACAGAGAGAGUGAAUGAUAAAUGUAACGGUGAUAUCAGGCAUAUAAUACUACCCCAGUAUUUGCCUCAAAGGACAAGAAAACCAUGAAAAACCUUGAUCAAGAAAGGUACCUCCCAAAUAUGAAGCAAGAGUGCUAACUAGUGUAUGUAUCACAAUGUUUGGUGCGAUCAUGCAGAAACUAUAAUGGAAAGACUGUUGGUAAUCUGUGAAAUCAAACAAAUACAAUAGCUAAACUAAGGAAGCUAACAUAUUUGUUUCAAAGAUUCAAUGAUAUUGAUAUUUUUAUAGACAAAUUUUCUUUGGACAUAGAUGUAUGAACAGAAUAUACAACAGAUGUUUCUCAA